AAUAACUGAUAUAUGUUUUUGUGACUAUGUGUUUAUUGGUAUUAAAUAUGUGUUGUUUUAGAUGAAUUUCGUGAAUAAACGGUAUUGAAAAGAAUGGUUUAAACAAAACUGGUCUUCAUAAACACGAAAUUUGCACUGAGAUAACUGGUUUAAGAGGUCUAGAUAAAGUGUAUUUAGAUCUACUAACGGAAAAUGGCUAAAUAAAAUUCUAUUCACAAUGGGGGCAUAAAAAGCUGUCAUUCCUUCUAAUGACAGUUGUUUUGUGACAAAAUCCCAAAUUGACGCAGUGAGAACAUUUAUCGCAAUAGACCGGUUACGAUCUUAACGUAUGGUCUCGUAUCAUUAUUUGGGGCAAAUUUUUUUCGCAUACACAACAUACUUUAAUCUUAUUGUAAUGCAAAGUACAGAGAGCACACAGAGAGCACAAUACAAAUUCGAGACGGGCCUCCAAGGGAAAGUACUCUUACAACAUUUAACGAUCAAAACAUUGACAAACAUAGCCGUCUGGUGAAGGAAAUUUUAAGAUUUUAAACAUUGUUUAGGCUAUUUCUCUGAAACGAGGUCAGAAAAACGGACAAUUUAUAUGAUAUUUAUUUUUAUUCCUAAUGAUUGUUGUCUUAUCGGCUGUGGAAAUUCUCGCGUUACAAAAGUGAACAGUUUUCGGGCACGUGCGUUCGAAUGAUGCUUAGAAGUUUACGUCAUAAACGUACACGAUCUUAUAGGGCUGCACGAAGUUUUAGGAAUAGAGGAUACUGCACAGGCUGUAAAAUAUAAAGCGAAAAAAAAUCACUGACCGUACCCGGGGUACAUGUCAGUAUACCAGGGUGCAUGUUAGUAUACUUAAGAGUACCCGGGGUAUAUGUAAGAAGUACCAGAGCUGACAAUGACCAAUAGAAUGUAAGUGACUAUGUGUAUUUGCUUUCAUAGUAUCGUAUAUUAAAUAAAAUCUGCAAUAAGUUCUAUGCCUCAAUGUCACCCUUUAAAGAAAUUGGGGUGUAUUGCUGUCUGUUGGUUUGUCUGUCACUUUUUCCUUGGGCUUAAAUGUACUCAUAGCUAAAACUGGUGAACAUUUAAAAUUCUGACAAUUCACGUACCUCUUUCUUAUUGACGGUCUUUAUUUUCAUGGUGCCUUAUUUUUUCACUUUAAACAUUUGUGUAUGUAUUAUAUAGUUUCUUUUAGGCCAAGAUGCAGGGUUUCCUCUUUAAAAAGGAUCAAGAGAAAUCUACUGCAAAUAAAUACGUAGCGUGUCCUGUUAAGUGUGUAUAUGUUUCUCGAUAACAAGAGAUCAAAAUACUAUGUAGAUGAUUGCAGAUGUUUUUUCUAUCCAUCUUGGAACAAGGGGUUUUGUUAAAUUGGGGGGUUUUAAAUCGGGGAUCUUUCCCUUGGUAAAGUUUGAACUUAUUAUUAUGGUGAUGGAUUUAAGAAUAGAAAAUUGCAUGUGUGGAAAUUAUAAUAUUUUAUUCAUCAGAUGAUGUGUAUCAUGUUUCAUUCUACUUCUUGCCUGGAAGGUAUAAGUAAAUAAUUGGGCCAUAAAACAGCUGGAAAAAAGAUACUGCUGUCUCAGCAAUAAUUUUGCCAUAGAUUGAUGGAUUUUAAAACGACUAGUACAAAUGCAACUUAACCAUUCAUCAUGCUAUAUUACAAUAAUUUACCAAUAAAACCACAAAAAGGAGAUGGAACAUUAUAUGUAAAACCUGUCUACCAAACUCACUGUCAGGGACCAAGAUCACACUUUGAAGUAAAGGUACAAUGCGGCAACAAAAAAGCUUUUAGAGUUGUAACUGUGUAAUUAAUCCUUCAAUUUGAAUUUGAAAGUGGAAUGUGGGGGCAUCCAUGCCACACUGACCUAUGUAUGACUUAUGUUUAUUCCUAAAAAUGAGUUAAUUUAAUGUUAAUCAUACAGCCACAAAAUGAAGGAGUUGAUUUAAAUUCUGAUCACACUGGUAAUAGGGUCAACCAGGUACUGUAAAUGUUUAUAUCUUUAUUACUGGAACAUGUUAUGAUAAAUUGUUAAAGAAAACUUAUUGCAUUUAAUUGUGGAUGUGAAAAACUAUUGAUGAAAUACAACUAAUUCAUUAAAAAUUAUCUGGAACAUUGCGACACCAGUUUACCACAGAUUCUGUAUCUGGAGUACUUAAAACUGUUAUGGUAUAACCUUGGUAACUCUAUGCUUAUAAAAUAUUCAGUUUUGGGGAAUUUCUAUUCUUUAUACUUGCAAGUAUGAACAAGGUAAUUUUUUAUCUGGGAAUUAUUAUGCAUGAUUCAAGCACAUUGAUGGAUGAAUUGGAACCAGUCAAUUUAUUUUUUAUCUUAUUUAUGUUAUUUCACAAUUUGAAUUGGCACAUUGACAUUUGUUAUUUGAGAUUUUUCAG